rnacentral:rRNA from 1 species
AACGAACGCUGGCGGCAUGCCUAACACAUGCAAGUCGAACGAUCCCUUCGGGGAUAGUGGCGCACGGGUGCGUAACGCGUGGGAACCUGCCCUUAGGUUCGGAAUAACUCAGAGAAAUUUGAGCUAAUACCGGAUAAUGUCUUCGGACCAAAGAUUUAUCGCCUUUGGAUGGGCCCGCGUUGGAUUAGCUAGUUGGUGGGGUAAAGGCCUACCAAGGCGACGAUCCAUAGCUGGUCUGAGAGGAUGAUCAGCCACACUGGACUGAGACACGGCCCAGACUCCUACGGGAGGCAGCAGUGGGGAAUAUUGGACAAUGGGCGAAAGCCUGAUCCAGCAAUGCCGCGUGAGUGAUGAAGGCCUUAGGGUUGUAAAGCUCUUUUACCCGGGAUGAUAAUGACAGUACCGGGAGAAUAAGCCCCGGCUAACUCCGUG